rnacentral:tRNA from 1 species
GCUCGGGUGGUGAAAUUGGCAGACACGCCAGCUUGAGGUGCUGGUGGGGCAACCCUUGGGGGUUCGAGUCCCCCCCCGAGCACCA